rnacentral:lncRNA from 1 species
GGGGCUGCAGUGGGUGCUCAGCACCCUGCUCAUGUGCUUUGGUGCUGUUGUUUUUUCCCUAGGUCAGAGCACAGAUGCCGGUGACUAAGGACGUGCCACCAUUUGUCAUCUGCAGUCAAUCUCUCUUGAAGAAAAAAGAAUGGAGGGGAAUGCGGAGCUGUGAUUCAGCUUUGUGUUUCAGGAGAACAGGCAGUGAGGGUGAAGCUUCGUUCUUCUGCUGUGACUGGGAGAAAUGGCAGGGGCUGCAGAUGAGAUAAGGAGAGCAGAUCUGCCAAUCCAUGCGUGCGGCUGGGGCAGGAGGGAGCAAUGAGCCGGAGCCGAUUCUCCAGCAUCUGCUGUUGGGAUCUGUUUCACAG